GACGAACGCUGGCGGCGUGCUUAACACAUGCAAGUCGAACGAGAAUCUGUGGAAAGAGGAUUCGUCCAAUUGAAGCAGAGGACAGUGGCGGACGGGUGAGUAACGCGUGAGGAACCUGCCUUUCAGAGGGGGACAACAGUUGGAAACGACUGCUAAUACCGCAUAACGCGUAGAGAUCGCAUGGUCUUUACGCCAAAGAUUUAUCGCUGAAAGAUGGCCUCGCGUCUGAUUAGCUAGUUGGUGAGGUAACGGCCCACCAAGGCGACGAUCAGUAGCCGGACUGAGAGGUUGAACGGCCACAUUGGGACUGAGAUACGGCCCAGACUCCUACGGGAGGCAGCAGUGGGGAAUAUUGGGCAAUGGGCGAAAGCCUGACCCAGCAACGCCGCGUGAAGGAAGAAGGUUUUCGGAUUAUAAACUUCUUUUAUCAGGGACGAGAAAGUGACGGUACCUGAU
rnacentral:rRNA from 1 species